GGGGGUGACCUGGCUUCGACGGUGGUUGAGUGAGUGAUUGUUGCAGGCCGGAGUUGGUCAGAGGCUCCGUUAUCAAGCCGACCAAACUAGUAACUGCCAACGCUGAGUUGGCUCUCGCAGCCUAAAGUGCUGUGACGUUCCGCCCGAAACGCCCGGUAUCGGGGUCGGAACGCCAUCACCGGGAUCGGUUGUUGAAGCGCGUCUCGUCUUCAGCGGCUUAAAAACAACGGGGCUGGCGCCGAGGAGGUUCUGUCUAGUUACAACCUUGGCGUGAGAUGAAAACUAGGCUAAGCCUGUAGGGACGUCAUGAUCUUGCCUCCGGACGCGGGUUCGAUUCCCGCCACCUCCACCC
rnacentral:tmRNA from 1 species